UCCGUACGUACCAUUUAUUAACAAACAUGUAUAAAAAAAAUGGCAUAUUUCCCUUCACAUAUUUGCAUAUCUUUCUGAUUCUAAUACUGACACACACUUUUUAAUAAAAUAUGAUAAAUACAGAAAACAGUAUGGGAAUAGGUACUGGAAAGAAAGUCAUAUCUAAAGAAAUAUUUUCAAAAAUUGUUCUAAAUGAUUUCUUUAUUUACGACUUUAAGGCUCCUGUUGUUGGCUGUUAGUACAUAAAAUGUAUUUUUACAUCUCUGGAAACCCUUAAUACAAUGUACUUAAUAAAGGAUUUUGAUUCUACGUUGUCUCUGCCAGCAUCAAGCAUUUUUUCAUAAAUAUAUAAGAAAAUUAUUUUAUGAUUGCAGAUAGAUCCAUAAGAUUGCAAACUUUUUUUAAGAAUACCUAAAAUAUACUUUCAUAGUGCAUUUCUAAUAAAAAAAAGCAUGCAAAAAAUGGAACACUUGGUUCAUCAUGGAAAAUUUCUGAGCUGCAGUGCAAUCCAGAACAAAUGUAUUCCCAUCUGCAAAAUAUCGACAACAGUCACAAUAGAAGAAUCUUCAGAAGUUUAAUAAAUUAAACUGGCAUCUUUAGAUUGAGUUAUUUAACUUUAUCAAAAAUUUAUUUUUUAAGAUAGCUUUUUUUUUUUUAAAUAUUGCAUUAUUUUUAUUUCUACUACUCUUUUCAUUGAUUUUAAAUAAUUUUAAUAUAUACACAUAAAUGUGUAACAAUGUCAUUAGGUUUAAUAUAUACACAUAAAUGUGUAACAAUGUCAUUAGAUUUCAAUGAUGUCAAUUCUAUAUUUCCAAACAUAAUUUGCAAAAAGUUUAAUUGGUAAUUUGAUCUAGAUGUUACCACCAUAUUCUAAUCAACUAACUGGCCUAAUGGUCUAUGAUUGUCUUUAAUGUGAUAAAAUA
rnacentral:lncRNA from 1 species